rnacentral:rRNA from 1 species
AUUGAACGCUGGCGGCAUGCCUUACACAUGCAAGUCGAACGGUAACAGGUCUUCGGAUGCUGACGAGUGGCGAACGGGUGAGUAAUACAUCGGAACGUGCCCGAGAGUGGGGGAUAACGAGGCGAAAGCUUUGCUAAUACCGCAUACGAUCUCAGGAUGAAAGCAGGGGACCGCAAGGCCUUGCGCUCACGGAGCGGCCGAUGGCAGAUUAGGUAGUUGGUGGGAUAAAAGCUUACCAAGCCGACGAUCUGUAGCUGGUCUGAGAGGACGACCAGCCACACUGGGACUGAGACACGGCCCAGACUCCUACGGGAGGCAGCAGUGGGAAUUUUGGACAAUGGGCGCAAGCCUGAUCCAGCCAUGCCGCGUGCAGGAUGAAGGCCUUCGGGUUGUAAACUGCUUUUGUACGGAACGAAAAGACUCUGGUUAAUACCUGGGGUCCAUGACGGUACCGUAAGAAUAAGCACCGGCUAACUACGUGCCAGCAGCCGCGGUAAAAC